ensembl:lncRNA
UCACUUUACAGAGGGAGCCAGCCUGCUCAGGCUGCCGAGGUUUUGCAGCUCUCACAGGACACUGAAAAAUCCAGCAAUCAGACCUGUGCAGCCGGAAUGCUUCCACAGGAGAUGGCAGUGCACAGAAACAGCGCAUUAUCUAAAAACAGCCUCGCACAAUAUGUUUCUAUGGACAUCAGAAACCAAUCUUUGAAAUGGUCCCCGAUGAGGGCCAUGCUGGCCCGAGCUGCAUUCUGAAAGUGUUCCAAUUCCUCCUUUGUAUCCGGCCUGUGUUUAUGGGAGAAAGAGGAUCCUUUACUUCAAAGGGGACAAAAGGAAGAAGAAAUGAGAGCAACCGAACAUGGCCUUCAUGUGGAUCAGCUCCUAGUAACAGAAGCAAUGUGGGAUUGCUGAACUGUCAGUGGCCUAAGCAACAACACUAGCUCAUAGAAAAACUCGAGUCGUAUAGUGGAAAAUAAAUACAAAAACUGCUAAGAUGCUGUCAAUGAGCAGGAGCAGAGCUUUUGUUUAGACAGAGAAGGGAACUGCAGAGAAAACCAGCUUUUUUAACCUGAAUAUGCAGCGCUUCUUGCACAUGGAGAGGGGAAGCAGAGACUGGGAACAAGUCUGAAGUGGAGCCACACAAUGCCUGGUGUCAAAGCAAGAAGUGGGGUGGAUCUCCGCAAAAAGCGAGACCUGAGUUGAUGACAGAGCCUCUGACAAGAAAGGUAGCAAAGAAAUCACAGAAAUAUUCAGAGAAACUUCUAGCUUGCACAAAUUCACAGGAAAGAUCAACUGUCCAUUGGCAAAAGUAUAUAUAAUUAUGGCACUAAAAUGAAGUUGUUUUAAUCUUCACAAUAAUUAUCAACAUGUACAGCAGCUACUAUAAGAAAAAUAAUUGCUAACAUAAGAAAGGAACAGCUUGUUCACUUUUUUUUUUUUUUUCCUCUUGAAUAACAUUUUGCUAUUUGCCUGUUGCCCAAAAACUUGUUUGGGAUCAUUAAAUAUAUAAGGGGAUCAGAUAUCUAUAUUUUACCUUUAUGUCAAAUAUUUACAUGUCAUACGUAGGACCUCACCAAGGAGUUGUUGUGAUUAGUUGCCAAGAAGCAUCAAGAAUCAAAUACAAUUGUUAAUGUUUAAGGGUUUUCCUGUUUAUUUCUACAAACAUACAGGAUAAACACUGUCAGCUCAAAGUAAACUAUAGAGUACACUUCUUUUUUUUCCAAAACUAAUACCCUAUAAAAGCCUCGAAUAGUUGAAAACUACAUUUAAACCAAUUCAUUGUGGUGACUAGUACCAUGUGUGAAGACUCAAAGAAGUUUCACAACCCAAAGACUCUGCUAACUAGUUAAAAUUAUCAUUAAAAAGUUACCCAUGGUUUUGACCUAAGAUGAUGAAGAUCAUCCUAAAACACAUCAAGAAAAGUUGUCAACAUUUGGGUCUGAUCAACAUAAAUAAAACAGAUACAGGAUAUAUUUUUAAGAAACAAGACCUUCAGCUUAUAUUAAAUAAAAAAAGGAAAGAAAGGAAAGCAACACGUGUACAGUAUCAUAAAAUCUAAGCCAUCGCACCAGGGAUUAAAUUUUGAGUGACAUUCAAAAGAUUUUCAUUAAAGCAUCCAUUUGUUUCAGUCAUUUGAGAACUAUUUAGUCACUUAACUCUCCCAGCUGAAUUUUUUUUGAAUGCCAAUUGACAGAGGAAAUUCAUUCCAACUAAAGAUAAAUCCCUACUUUCUCUGCCAAGAGUUUUCUUGCCAUCGACAAUUAUUGGUCUAGAGGGGACUUUUUCCUUCUUCUGGAAAUUCAGCUCCUUCUAAGAAACCUAUGUAAAAUUAAGUACUUCAUUAAACUGACAAUCUG